CACGUAGGGUGCGAGCGUUGUCCGGAAUUACUGGGCGUAAAGCGUGCGCAGGCGGUUUCUUAAGUCAGAUGUGAAAGCCCCGGGCUUAACCUGGGAACUGCGUUUGAAACUGGGAGACUUGAGUGUGGCAGAGGGGGGUGGAAUUCCACGUGUAGCAGUGAAAUGCGUAGAUAUGUGGAGGAACACCAAUGGCGAAGGCAGCCCCCUGGGUCAACACUGACGCUCAUGCACGAAAGCGUGGGGAGCAAACAGG
rnacentral:rRNA from 1 species